rnacentral:rRNA from 1 species
CAAGGAGGGCGAUUACCACGGUAGGAUUCAUGACUGGGGUGAAGUCGUAACAAGGUAGCCGUAUCGGAAGGUGCGGCUGGAUCACCUCCUUU